rnacentral:rRNA from 1 species
CCUACGGGUGGCAGCAGUAGGGAAUAUUGCUCAAUGGGGGCAACCCUGAAGCAGCAACGCCGCGUGGAUGAUGAAGGUCUUCGGAUUGUAAACUCCUUUUGGUAGAGAAGAUAAUGACGGUAUCUAACGAAUAAGCACCGGCUAACUCCGUGCCAGCAGCCGCGGUAAUACGGAGGGUGCAAGCGUUACUCGGAAUCACUGGGCGUAAAGAGCGCGUAGGCGGGUUAGCAAGUCAGAUGUGAAAUCCUAGGGCUUAACCAUAGAACUGCAUUUGAAACUGUUAUGCUAGAGUAUGGGAGAGGUAGGUGGAAUUCUAGGUGUAGGGGUAAAAUCCGUAGAGAUCAGGAGGAAUACUCAUGGCGAAGGCGACCUGCUGGAACAUAACUGACGCUGAGGCGCGAAAGCGUGGGGAGCAAACAGGAUUAGAUACCCCGGUAGUC